rnacentral:lncRNA from 1 species
UGUGAUAUGGAGGUCGAACUGUAAGUUUUGAUGCAUUUUCAUGGAUGAUUACAUACUGUGGAGGUAGAUACUAUCAUCUUAUCAUGUAUGACAACCAUUUGAGAGAAAAAUGUCCAAUUUUUGACAACUCAAAUGGAGUUCAAAAUGAAAAUGAUGUCCAAUGUUUCACAGAAAAACCUACAUAAACAAUACAAAUCCAUCUAUACAAAACCUUAAUUUUCCAGAUCCUACAAUUCAGAAUACACAAAAACAUCCAGCUACAAAACCAUGUUCAAAUCAAUUCUAGUAUUCUCCACUUUGAUUUUUUUAACUUUGCCCAAUUCAUUGUCGGCAACCCCAUGUCAUCAACUUCCGGUGGUCAGAUCUCUACCCGGUGUCCUUCAUGUGGGAGCAAAAGUCAGAGCACUUCAUUGUUGGGUCCCUCCAUCAGAAACAGCUCAUCUCAAUAUCUGAUGCCUUCAUUGCAGUUUCCAUUCUCUCUAACGAUUCCCCUCCCUGAAAACUCCUUCUUUGGCCUGGCCCUAGACCGCCAUCGCCAUGGUCUCCUUGUUGUGGUUUACCGCCUUUCCAGCCCAUCCUUCAGCGUCCUUGCCUCCUACCACCUCACCACUUUCAAUCAACUCUUCCUCGCCCAGCUCCCAAACUCCACCAUUCUAAACAACGUCGUUGUCGAUUUCAGAACGCUUACGUCACUGAUGCAGCCAAUGGCGUUGUCUUCAAAGUCAACAUCGACGGCGAGGCCUCGAUUCUGUCAAGAUCUCAAGCCUCUCGCAAUUCCGAUUUAAUGGGUGAGACGAAUUAAUUGAUGAAAAAAUAGAUUUUUAUGCGUAAUAAAUGGGCGAGACAAAUUAAAUGAAGGGAAUGGCGUAAAUUGACAAUCAAAGAUUAAUUAAGGUUAAACUUGGAGAAAACCCCAAAUACCCAGAAAAUCGUAGGCAGUGUUGUGGAAAGAGAAGAGAACAUAGAAGUCAAUAAAC